rnacentral:rRNA from 1 species
CACGUAGGGGGCGAGCGUUGUCCGGAUUUAUUGGGCGUAAAGAGCUCGUAGGCGGUUUGGUAAGUCAGAUGUGAAAGUCCAGGGCUCAACCCUGGGAAGCCAUCUGAUACUGCUAUGACUUGAGUCCGGUAGGGGAGUGUGGAAUUCCUGGUGUAGCGGUGAAAUGCGCAGAUAUCAGGAGGAACACCAGCGGCGAAGGCGGCACUCUGGGCCGGUACUGACGCUGAGGAGCGAAAGCGUGGGGAGCGAACAGGAUUAGAUACCCUGGUAGUCCACGCCGUAAACGUUGGGCACUAGGUGUGGGACCUUAUCAACGGGUUCCGUGCCGUCGCUAACGCAUUAAGUGCCCCGCCUGGGGAGUACGGCCGCAAGGCUAAA